AAUCAUGGCUCAGGACGAACGCUGGCGGCGCGCCUAACACAUGCAAGUCGAACGGAAUCAAGAGGAGCUUGCUUUUCUUGAUUUAGUGGCGAACGGGUGAGUAACGCGUGAGUAACCUGCCCUGGAGUGGGGGACAACAGUUGGAAACGACUGCUAAUACCGCAUAAGCCCACGGUGCUGCAUGGCACUGCGGGAAAAGGAUUUAUUCGCUUCAGGAUGGACUCGCGUCCAAUUAG
rnacentral:rRNA from 1 species